rnacentral:ncRNA from 1 species
GGCGCGGCUAGGUCGACGGACCGAACAAUGGCAUCCCGCAUUCUGCCAUCCGCCGCGCAGCUUCUUCUCAAACGGUGCGG